rnacentral:rRNA from 1 species
AUUGAACGCUGGCGGCAGGCCUAACACAUGCAAGUCGAGCGAGUGGCGGAUGGGAGAGGAAUGUUUGGGCAUCGGUCAGAUAGCGGGGGAAGACUACUGGACACUGUGGCUAAUACCGCAUACUCCCGUUUGACCCCAGAUGGGUUUAGCUAGUGGGUGGUGUAAAGGCUGACCUAGGCGAGGAUCUCUAGCUGGUGUGAGAGGACGACCAGCCACACUGGAACUGAGACACGGCCCAGACUCCUACGGGAGGCAGAAGGGGGGAAUAUUGCACAAUGGGCGCAAGCCUGAUGCAGCCAGGCCGCGUGUAUGAAGAAGGCCUUAGGGUUGUAAAGUACUUUCAGCGGGGAGGCGUUACCCGCAGAAGAAGCACCGGCUAACUCCGUGCCAGCCGCCGCGGUAAUUC